ensembl:snRNA U6 U6 spliceosomal RNA
GUGCUCGCUUCAGCAGCACAUAUACUAAAAUUGGAACGAUACAGAAAAGAUUAGCAUGGCCCCUGCACAAGUAUGACACACAAAUUCGUGAAGUGUUCCAUAUUUUU